UACGUAGGGUGCAAGCGUUAUCCGGAAUUAUUGGGCGUAAAGAGCUCGUAGGCGGUUUGUCGCGUCUGCUGUGAAAACCCGAGGCUCAACCUCGGGCCUGCAGUGGGGUACGGGCAGACUAGAGUGCGGUAGGGGGAGAUUGGAAUUCCUGGUGUAGCGGUGGAAUGCGCAGAUAUCAGGAGGAACACCGAUGGCGAAGGCAGAUCUCUGGGCCGUAACUGACGCUGAGGAGCGAAAGCGUGGGGAGCGAACAGG
rnacentral:rRNA from 1 species